rnacentral:RNase_P_RNA from 1 species
GAAGUGGGCUGGGCGACCGCUGCUGGCAUGCCAGGAGAGGAAGGUCCGGACUCCGCAGGAAAGGGUGACGGCUAACGGCCGUACGCAGCAAGUGGGUGAGAGCCCACCCAAGGCGAGGAAUAGGGCCACAGAGACGAGCAUUCGCUGGAAACGGCGAGGAUGUGAAACGCGGUAACCUCCACCCGGAGCAACACCAAGUAGGCGCACGACGGGCCUUCGGGCCCCGAAAGGGUGUUCCGCCUCACGUGCGCGGGUCGGUGGCUUGAGCCCCCUAGUAAUGGGGGGCCUAGAUG